rnacentral:rRNA from 1 species
UACGAAGGGGGCUAGCGUUGUUCGGAAUUACUGGGCGUAAAGGGCGCGUAGGCGGUACUUCAAGUCAGGCGUGAAAGCCCCGGGCUCAACCUGGGAACCGCGCUUGAGACUGGAGAACUAGAGUUCGGGAGAGGAUGGUGGAAUUCCCAGUGUAGAGGUGAAAUUCGUAGAUAUUGGGAAGAACACCGAGGGCGAAGGCAGCCAUCUGGACCGACACUGACGCUGAGGCGCGAAAGCGUGGGGAGCAAACAGG